UCUUUCCAGUUUCUACCUCCCACAAAAAUCUCAAUCUGCGCCGCCACCAAAGCCUAUCCCCCGCGGCAGUUCUCGGCCUGGCUCUGCCCUCCGGCGCCAACUCCACCCUCGGCCGGCGACUUCCCGUUCUCCUAUGUCGGCAUCCUCGCGAGUGGGAGCCCCGUCGGCCGUCGGUGUCCUCGCCGUUGCCACGCCGCGCCCCUCCAAACUCUCAUUGCUACACCGUCCCGCAAAGAUGGGAUCCGGAAUGUCAAGAAGGGGGAGAAGGAGCGAAUACAUUAAUCAGGUGCAGGAUCGAAUGACUGGCCAUUAAGUAGACUGCAUUUACUCUCUAUGGGAGAGUUCCAAUUUAAUUUGCAAUUCCAACAUGAUUCAUACGUUCAUUGUUUGAUGAUGUAUAGUUUUAGCUUCCAGAUACUAGCAUCACUUUGGCCUAGUACUUACAAAGCAAAAUGACAUAUCAAUGUGGUUUUUUACUUUAUUAGUUCUGGCUUCACAUGACUUCGUGCGACUGACAAGGCAUAUUUUUUGGUCCACCACUAAUGGCUAGUGCAGAUUUUUUUCAUGGAUUUUUGCUUACUUUAGCUCGGUAGAUGCUCAAUAUUUGUCUUAAUUGUACCAUUUUGGGAAGCGGCUAUGCAUCUUAAUUAGGCAUGAGUAAGAUCAAAACAAGCUAAGUUAUGUACAUUUUGAAAAAGAUCCAAACUAGAUAUAGUUUUCCGCUCAGUUUGAUCCAGUACACCUGGUCAGGCAAAUUGUGGUUCGACAACCUAUCUGAUAUAGCCUUGAAACCUUCUGAUUUUACACAAACUAAGCUGGGGCAUAGGGAAAUGCAUGUUAGUAUCUAACAAUGGAGGAUGCGGCUCACUGUUGAAUCAACAAAUUGACCACAUCAACGCCUUGUUAGACACAACUGCCCUAUACCGAACCCCUCAAAGAAACAGAAAAAAAAUGUUGUAUCUCUCUCCCCAGAUCAGGCGCAUCCAUGGCUCCCGACAGGGAUAACUUCCGACGUCAAUACUUCCCGGACAUCUGGGUGAUGCCGCUCGCUACGAACCAAAGUCCCCCCCCCCCCCCCCCCCCCCCAUUGGAAGAUGCAGCCGAUACCACUACCUUGCAGCCAUAGAUUGAUUCCUUCAUGCGCUGGCAGGCUAGAUGUUCAAGGAGGUAGCGGAGGUGCAACCGUGUGUCCAUCCUCUCCCAUGGAAGGUGCCUGAUAUUCGAGGAUUUAACAUUAUGGAAAUGUUCAGCAGAUGAUCUUUUGUAAGUGAAAAGAAUACAUUUUUAUAAGAGCAAUCAAUGUGGGACCAAUACAAGAUGUGUGAUUUAUCCAUGUUCCAACCUUUUCUGCUGACAAAGAGGGUUCAGAACAAUGUAGUCGUCAUCUGUUUGAAAGAUAAGCUGGAUUAUCUCUAGAUCAGCUGGCUCAAACUAAAUUUGUUGUGUCAUCCCCACUAGUUUAGAGUUUCUAUUGGACCGAAGAUUACUAGUGUCGACAAGCAUAACCAGUCAAUCCUAAGAAAUCUUAGUUCUAUAGAGAAGAAACAAAUAAAUUAUAAGUAUUCUUUUUGAAAUCAUUGUAUAUUUCUUAUUUAAAAUUAUCUAGCUCUGCUUCUCUAUAUUUCCCUUCACCUUUUCUGGUGCUAAUGUGCUUUUAUUGCAGGAUUUAGAGGACAAAACUAAUUAUAUGGACAGAUUAUAACAGGUUUUAUAUCGGAAAUAAUCUUGAAAUGUGCAAGGGAAAUCUUCACAUUUUUCUUGAAGCCAUGUCCCUAAAAACUGCGAAAAAGCUGCGAAAGCCGUCAAGCUGAUGUACCAAACUAGCUAUAGAAUUUUUAGAUAGAUUUCGACAGAGAAUUUCCAUUUUAUUUUCAAAUUGGUUUUAACUUUCAGAUAGCCAGAAUUAAAUUAGAAGUUUAUUUUCUAGUGACAUACACAUUAUUGUAUGAACGUACAGUUCACUUGUAAAGUAUCAAUACCCUUUUUGAUAAAAAUAUUUGUAAUGGCUUGCA